CGCGUAGGCGGGAUGGCAAGUCGGUCGUGAAAUCCCUCGGCUCAACCGAGGAGCGUCGAUCGAAACUGCCGUUCUUGAGGGUUGCAGAGGAGACUGGAAUUCCCGGUGUAGCGGUGAAAUGUGUAGAGAUCGGGAGGAACACCGGUGGCGAAGGCGGGUCUCUGGGCAAUUCCUGACGCUGAGGCGCGAAAGCGUGGGGAGCAAACGGGAUUAGAUACCCCGGUAGUCCACGCUGUAAACGAUGACGACUAGGUGUGGGGGGUUCAGUCCCUUCCGUGCCGCAGCUAACGCAUUAAGUCGUCCGCCUGGGGAGUACGGCCGCAAGGUUGAA
rnacentral:rRNA from 1 species